rnacentral:rRNA from 1 species
UACGAAGGGGGCGAGCGUUGUUCGGAAUCACUGGGCUUAAAGGGCUCGUAGGUGGCCAACUAAGUCAGACGUGAAAUCCCUCAGCUUAACUGGGGAACUGCGUCUGAUACUGGAUGGCUUGAGUUUGGGAGAGGGAUGCGGAAUUCCAGGUGUAGCGGUGAAAUGCGUAGAUAUCUGGAGGAACACCGGUGGCGAAGGCGGCAUCCUGGACCAACACUGACACUGAGGAGCGAAAGCCAGGGGAGCAAACGGG